GAGGGUAUAGCUCAGUGGCAGAGUGCGUGCUUAGCGUAUAGGAGGUCCUGGGUUCAGUCCCCAGUAUCUCCA
rnacentral:tRNA from 1 species